rnacentral:rRNA from 1 species
CCCCUAGUANCGGCGAGUGAAGAGGGAAGAGCUCAAAUUUUGAAUCUGGCGUCUUUGGCGUCCGAAUUGUAAUCUAGAGAAGUGUUUUCCGUGACGGACCGUGCACAAGUCUCCUGGAAUGGAGCGUCAUAGAGGGUGAGAAUCCCGUAUAUGGCAUGNNCUNCCGUUGCUCUGUGAUACACUCUCGACGAGUCGAGUUGUUUGGGAAUGCAGCUCUAAAUGGGUGGUAAAUCCCAUCUAAAGCUAAAUAUUGGCGAGAGACCGAUAGCGAACAAGUNCCGUGAGGGAAAGAUGAAAAGCACUUUGGAAAGAGAGUGAAACAGUACGUGAAAUUGUUGAAAGGGAAACGCUUGAAGUCAGUCGCNCCGUUCGGGAUUCANCCUUGCUUCUGCUCGGUUUACUUCCUGUUGGGUGGGUCAACAUCAGUUUUGGUCGGAGGAGAAAGGCUUGGGGAANGUGGCAGCAUUCGUGCUGUGUUAUAGCCCCUUGUUGUAUACUUCGNCUGGGACUGAGGACCGCAGCACGCCUUUGGCC